UAGGGAAUCUUCCGCAAUGGGCGAAAGCCUGACGGAGCAACGCCGCGUGAGUGAUGAAGGUCUUCGGAUCGUAAAACUCUGUUAUUAGGGAAGAACAAAUGUGUAAGUAACUAUGCACGUCUUGACGGUACCUAAUCAGAAAGCCACGGCUAACUACGUGCCAGCAGCCGCGGUAAUACGUAGGUGGCAAGCGUUAUCCGGACUUAUUGGGCGUAAAGCGCGCGUAGGCGGUUUUUUAAGUCUGAUGUGAAAGCCCACGGCUCAACCGUGGAGGGUCAGUGGAAACUGGAAAACUGGAGUGCAGAAGAGGAAGGUGGAAUUCCAUGUGUAGCGGUGAAAUGCGCAGAGAUAUGGAGGAACACCAGUGGCGAAGGCGACUUGCUGGUCUGUAACUGACGCUGAUGUGCGAAAGCGUGGGGAUCAAACAGG
rnacentral:rRNA from 1 species